UGGGGAAUAUUGCACAAUGGGGAAAGCCCUGAUGCAGCAACGCCGCGUGAGUGAAGAAGUAUUUCGGUAUGUAAAGCUCUAUCAGCAGGGAAGAAAGUGACGGUACCUGACUAAGAAGCCCCGGCUAACUACGUGCCAGCAGCCGCGGUAAUACGUAGGGGCAAGCGUUAUCCGGAUUUACUGGGUGUAAAGGGAGCGUAGACGGCACAGCAAGUCUGAAGUGAAAUCCCGGCUCAGCCGGAACCGAUGCUUUGGAAACUGUUGGGCUGGAGUGUUGGAGAGGCAAGCGGAAUUCCUAGUGUAGCGGUGAAAUGCGUAGAUAUUAGGAGGAACACCAGUGGCGAAGGCGGCUUGCUGGACAAUCACUGACGUUGAGGCUCGAAAGCGUGGGGAGCAAACAGGAUUAGAUACC
rnacentral:rRNA from 1 species